rnacentral:lncRNA from 1 species
AAACCCGAAACUCGAUUCCGAACUUGAAUCCGAAUCCAAAUUCAAUGGAUUUUAAAAACUCAUAUCCAAACUCGAAUCCGGCCGAAAAUCCGAAACCCGGAUCCGAACCCAAACCCGAAUCCUUAAUAAUUAUUUCUCCUUUUAAUAUUUUAAAAUAUAUUAUAUUAAAUGUAAUUUUUUAAAAUAUAAAUUUAAAUAUAAUAUCAAAUUUUUAUAUACAUAUCAUAUAUAAUGUAAAAUAAAUUCAGGUUCGAGUCGGGUUUGGAUCGGAAGUGCAGUCAAAAUCCAUAUCCGUCGAGUUUUUUGCUUUUGAUAGCCAUAUUCGAAACCAUAUCCGUUUAACAUAAGAUAAAUCCACUGCUUUCGGAUUCGGAUUCGAAUAAAAUUUUGAGUAUUCGUACCCAUUGACAUCCCUACUGUUACAUAAUGUAGGUAGCCCGAGUUGGGCCCUGGGAUUUUAUUGGGCCUUACUUUCGUCCCAAUGAUUAGCCCAAUAUGCAAGCCGUGGAGUCUGUGGGGAACUGGGGAUGUUAGCGGGUCGGAUUCAUGUGAAUUUUUAAAAAAUUCGAACCCGAAUCCGACUACCAAAUCUAAAGUUCAAAUCUGAAUUCGAAUCCGACAAUUUUAAAAAUUCAUAUCUAAAUCCGAAUCCAACCAAAAAAUCCAAAACCCGAAACCAAAUCCGAAUUUGUAUCCGAAACAAUUAUUUAUCUUUAGUAUAUUUCAAAAUAUACUACAUUAAAUCUUAAUUUUUUAAAAUAAAAAUUUAAAUAUAAUAUCAAACAUUUAUAUAUAUUAUAUAUAUAACGUAAAAUCAACGGUUUUAG